rnacentral:rRNA from 1 species
ACGAACGCUGGCGGCGUGCUUAACACAUGCAAGUCGAACGGAAAGGCCCUGCUUUUGUGGGGUGCUCGAGUGGCGAACGGGUGAGUAACACGUGAGUAACCUGCCCUUGACUUUGGGAUAACUUCAGGAAACUGGGGCUAAUACCGGAUAGGAGCUCAUGCUGCAUGGUGGGGGUUGGAAAGUUUCGGCGGUUGGGGAUGGACUCGCGGCUUAUCAGCUUGUUGGUGGGGUAGUGGCUUACCAAGGCUUUGACGGGUAGCCGGCCUGAGAGGGUGACCGGCCACAUUGGGACUGAGAUACGGCCCAGACUCCUACGGGAGGCAGCAGUGGGGAAUAUUGCACAAUGGGCGGAAGCCUGAUGCAGCAACGCCGCGUGCGGGAUGACGGCCUUCGGGUUGUAAACCGCUUUCGCCUGUGACGAAGCGUGAGUGACGGUAAUGGGUAAAGAAGCACCGGCUAACUACGUG